AUUGAACGCUGGCGGCAGGCCUAACACAUGCAAGUCGAGCGGAGCGGCGGACGGGUGAGUAAUGCCUAGGAAUCUGCCUGGUCGUGGGGGAUAACGUCCGGAAACGGGCGCUAAUACCGCAUACUCUCAGAUGAGCCUAGGUCGGAUUAGCUCGUUGGUGGGGUAAAGGCCUACCAAGGCGACGAACCGUAACUGGUCUGAGAGGAUGAUGAGUCACACUGUAAUUGAGAUACGGUCCAGACUCCUAAGGGAGGCAGCAGGGGGGAAUAUUGGACAAUGGGCGAAAGCCUGAUGCAGCCAGUCCGGGUGUGUGAAGAAGGUCUUCGGAUUGUAAAGUAUUGUAAGUUUGGAGGCGUUACCAGCAGAAGAAGCACCGGCUAACUUCGUGCCAGCAGCCGCGGUAAUAC
rnacentral:rRNA from 1 species